rnacentral:rRNA from 1 species
GAUGAACGCUGGCGGCGUGCCUAAUACAUGCCAGUCGAGCGAACAGACGAGGAGCUUGCUCCUCUGACGUUAGCGGCGGACGGGUGAGUAACACGUGGAUAACCUACCUAUAAGACUGGGAUAACUUCGGGAAACCGGAGCUAAUACCGGAUAAUAUAUUGAACCGCAUGGUUCAAUAGUGAAAGACGGUUUUGCUGUCACUUAUAGAUGGAUCCGCGCCGCAUUAGCUAGUUGGUAAGGUAACGGCUUACCAAGGCAACGAUGCGUAGCCGACCUGAGAGGGUGAUCGGCCACACUGGAACUGAGACACGGUCCAGACUCCUACGGGAGGGAGCAGUAGGGAAUCUUCCGCAAUGAGCGAAAGCCUGACGGAGCAACGCCGCGUGAGUUAUGAAGGUCUUCGGAUCGUAAAACUCUGUUAUUAGGGAAGAACAAAUGUGUAAGUAACUAUGCACGUCUUGACGGUACCUAAUCAGAAAGCCACGGCUAACUACGUG